rnacentral:tRNA from 1 species
GCCGGCAUAGCUCAGUUGGUAGAGCAACUGAUUCGUAAUCAGUAGGUCGGAGGUUCGAUUCCUCUUGCCGGCACCA